AGCCCUGCUGCUGGGCGGGGCGGGGCGGGGCGGCAGUGGAUCCAGGGCGGCACUGGAUCCAGGGCACGGCCCUUCGCCGCUCUUCGCGCCCGCUGUCCCGCCCAGACGCCGCCGGCCGAAGCGCCCUGAGGCGGAGCAGGUGCGGGGCUGCGCCGCCAUGUUGCGGGCAGGAGGGACGGGGCCGCGUCCUGAGGGAGCGGAACGAGCCCUCCCGCCCCGGUAGCCGCAGCCGGUCCGCAGGCACCAGCUCCAUCCCGCCGGGUGUGUUCUUGCCCGGUGUUCUCGCUCGAUGUCCCAGCAGACAGAGCCGUGGAGGGCACGAUAUAUGUGGUUGAAAGGCAUCAUAAUUCUGGAAGGGGCCUCAAGCUGAUACAACUGAAAGCUGCCACAGAAGAGUUUAUAUCCCUGCCUUCUCCUAAAAUAUGUUCAACAGGAGUUGAACCACUUCGGCUGUUGGCAUUGUGAAAGAAAGGAGAGAAAAUGUUGUAGUCUCCAGCCAUCACCAUCCCCCUGACUGCUGCAGUAACCUGGAGGUUGUUCGGUACUGACUUCCUUCUCCUUUGGCCUGUCAGAGUAUGAUCUUCACGCUAGCCAGAAAUCUGUGGACCAUAACAUGGGUGUCUUUACAAUCACAGCAACAAAAGAGCAGAGGUGUCACAAACAAAGGAAGGUCCAUGCAGUAGUCACUGAGUGUGUCAAGUUCCCUGAGUUGUGGAAGAAUGGGGCUGGAAGUCACCAGAAUGUUUGCGGAAAUGCUAUAAGCCCUGAGAAGUCGCAGAAGGAUGCUCUGGGUCUGUGGCAGUCUGGCUGAAGCUCAGAACAAAAUUCAAGGGAGUCCAGCAUUGCACACAGAGUUUCUUCUGCUGUAUUAAUUGAGAGAGAGAGAAGGCAGAGGACUUAAACUGUGUUACUCAAAGACCUGUGAAAAGUCUGAGAGUGAGCUGGCACCCAACAGUGAAACCCCUGAAACGUUCCUAGUGAAAACUGCACCCAGCUCAUCACUUCAUUAUACCUGAAAAACAGUGAAGCUUCUGUGAAGUGAAGACUAUGCGAAACACAGGGCUAUAAUUCUGUAGCCUUUAGAGGUACUAUCUGAAACUUCACUAGUGGUGAUCUGUAAUGUGGUAUGCAGAAUUGAUAGUGGGAAUCUGAACCUGAUCCAGCCUUCAGUGUUGCUACUCUGUUAACACAGUUACAUGAUCACGGAAUCACAGAAUUGUAGGGAUUGGAAGAGACCUCCAGAGAUCAUCAAAUGAGAAAUACCAGUUUUGAAUUUGUCCUUCUGCACCCCUUUGAUUCACUGCACACUGGACUCCAAAAGGAACAGUACAGGAUUUUGUUUCUGCUUCUUUCAUCACACAGUUUAUCCUGCCAUACUUUACCACCCUGCAACUAGAAAGUCUGAACAUGGAUGACAAAUGCAAGGCUAUAGAAUCCUUGUGCGCUUGAUACAGUCUGGAUGGUGGGUUUACUUCAAACCUUGGAUGUGAAUUUAUUAGUACAGACUUGGAAGAAGUGAAGGAGAUCCAGAAUAAAGCAAAAGCCACCAACUGGGAGAGAAAGUUUCACCAACAUUCUUUUAAAGACAUCCUCUUUCUAUUCUUGUGCUUUGUUAUGUGCUCUUGCUUCUUUAUUAGUUCCUUCUACCUCACCGAUAGAAAGGACGUAAGCGGCUCUCAGUGCAAGAAUUAGAGUGCAAGGAAGUGCUGCUGAAGACAUAGGUUGAAUCUGUGCUCCUAACAAUGUCAGCCUUUGGAAGUAAGACAUGCUUCUUGAAAAGCUGCCUCUUGGCAUUUUUGUUUUUAGUUUUAAUUAGAGAUAUCAGAAAUACAUUACCUACACUAAGAAGAGCAGCAAGGGUGAUGUAACCUGUAGGAGAGGUUUCGGAGAGUUCCAUUAGUCCUUCUGUGGUCAGAUUCAUUGGCUCCAGCUUUCAUAGUUUCAGGACCUUUCUCCCUGAUGGAAUUUCCUGUAGUUGAGGCAGGAAGAAACGAGCUUAUUUUGGAGGGGCAAAGUUAUUCUGUGAACAGUGAGGAUCCGCACACCUCAUAUUAUUGUCUCUGCAGAGGUGGAGGGCUAAAUUAGACUGGCACAAUUGUACAGUUUAAUCACAAAACCACACCAUAAGAUAUAUAUUAAAAUGGCCUUUUAUGGGUUUUUUUUCCCUUUCCUUCCUUUUUUUUAUUUAUUUUUUUCCCUCUGCAAUAUCCCUGAACCAUUUUCUGUGAGCUAGAGUUUUUGCAAAUAUUUCCCUGCUUUAAAAUGAUCCAGAAGCAUCUUUAAGACUUUGACAGAGCUGUUGCCUCUUCUCCUUAAUGGCUUGAAAUAUUGUCAGAAGAAGGAAGAGCACAGCAGUACCAUGCAAGCCAACAGGCCUCGGCUCUGCUGUUUGGGCAAUGCUGCUGAGAACUCUACUGACAAUUUUCACAUACCUCAAAAAACAGCGCUAGGAUUUGUUAUAGGAAGCACCUGAGCAUCUCCUGAGACCAAGGUUACCUCCUGAAAGGAAUGGAGGUGCAAUAACAUGUUUUAAGCCACAUAGCAGAAAUAACAGGCCUGAGUACGACCAGUGUCUUCAUUUCUGGCUCAUUCAGCCUCUUGCUGAUGUGACUUCUUCACAGCACCUGCAGGUCUAGAAACAAGGGUACAAGAUCACAGGGAGAGGCAUAAAUGCAACAAAACCCGCUAAAUUUGGUUUCCACAUACCUGUCAUGCUCCUUAGGACCUUGCUUGUGCCUUGGAAUGUUCAGCAAGAGAGUUCUGUGGGUAACAUUACAGCUUUAUAGAGAGCAAUCUAAUUAUUUUAGUCUGAAAUAUCUCUUCAUAUGUUUAGGAAGAAGCCAAAUAAGGGAGAACAGAAGAAGUUCAAAGGAACAUGAAAUGUAUCUGUCAUCUCUGUCAGUUUUCUUCAUGAAAAGAAGCUGUGAGAACUACACACUCUACAUGUUUGACAUUAGUUCACUUCACGGGACUGCGGGGAGUAUGUGUUUGUAGGGCUAUAUUCGCACAAGAUCUGCCUCACACAGACUGCUGAUUUAGAUGUCUAAUUUAGAAGCACAGGCUCCCUCUGUAGUCACUGGAGCCUAAAUUAACAGCUUGGAAUUACCCCUGAAAGGACCCACCUUUCUCUACUGAGUACAGAGCGACCCAAGGCUCCUAAUUCAGGCACACAGGUCCCACAUUAGGGAGGGCCCGGUGUGUUAGCCUUGUACAAACCAUACCCUGUUCAAACCCUGCACGCGUCUAAUUUGCUGAGCAGGGCAAAGACCUCAUAGCGCAGACCUUGCUGUGAACCUGUAUCACUGAGCAAGGAGGAGAGGGUGUUUGCCACAGGUUGCCAGAUCACAGCCUUGUCAGGGCAAGGGAAGCUUUGGUCAGCCUAGAAGUCAGGAAGCUUUCAGAGGAGCAAAUUGCUGGAGUGCACUGGGGUGACCGGCAGGGAGCAGCGCAGCUUUUGGGGAGAGGGGUGCAUAUCCUCUGCAGGGCCCUGCUGGACGUGCCCUGCUCCAGAGGGUCAUCAUGGCUGCGGCACACCUUCUCACCUCUCCUUGAGGGUGAGGGAAGACGUGGAGAUGAUUAACUUGGGGACUGCAAACCCCUGGUUUCUACAUCCACCUCUGCCAAGGGCUCUUCCUGCUACCCUGCGCAAGUUGCAGGGCUCUUGCUCAACCUCCACCUCUUGGGAGGAGAAUUACUUUAUUUACAGGAGGUGAUGUCACAACAGUGUUGUGAGGGGAUGUGACUCAAUGUUUGUAUAACGCUUUGAAGACGAAGAGUGCUAAGUAUUGUUAUUUGAGAUGGCAACAAAAUAAAAUAUCUUCGGUGCGGCUAUUCAAGCCAAAUCCAUUUUCAGUUAAUCUUCCAAGCAGCAAUUCAGAAUCAAAGUAAAAAGCUCUGCCAACUGGAACUUUACAGCUCAAUGGGAAAGUAUGAAAGAGAAUUAAUUGGGUUUUAAACAGUUGUAACUGUAUUGUGAUGCAGCAUGAUCUGGAGCGCUCGGCUGCCGCUGGUUGCCAACUGGUUUGGAACUGAGAUUGCUCAAGGGAAUCUUUUUUGCAGGAAAGAAAAAUAGUUGGGCCAUCAUGCGCAGCGUGCUCCACAGACUGACAGGAACUGCCUCUGUGCUCUCUAUGAAAACAUGCGCUUUUUCCACUUUGUGCUGCUGGGUUUUUUUUUCAGCAAUGCAAAAACAGUGGAAGAUGUGGAAAGAGACAGAACUGCCCACCACCAGCACAGGGCACCUCGUGGGCAUUGUGUCCCCUCCCGGAAAGGAGGGAUGGCAAGACAUGAUGGCAAAGCCUGUUACAAGUACCUGUUCAAAGCAAGUUCUCCAUAAAAUAGGCGUACCGGCACACUGGCUUCCUGGGAGCAUUGCUAAAUCCAGAUCACUUGCAGAUGGCUUUUAAGCUCUGUACUGAAAUUAGCAGAGUUCCACAACUGUUAACUACCAGAGAUUUGCUUCUUAUAAGGAAAAGUCUGUGUGCAUUGGCUUCACGUUUUUUUACCUGAUGUUCAAAGGGGCUGGAACAUGGCUCUCAGCUUCUUCUGUUUGGUGGGGUUUGUCAAUGUGAAGUGCCCUUAGCACUUACUUAAUAGCUUACUUACAGUGAGCUAUUUACUGCUUUCCCUCUUUCAGUGAAUGCGGUGUUUUGUAGUUAAGCCAUAUGGUUUGGGUUUUCCUGUUUUGUCCUCAAAUCCCUUUUUUUGUUUGUUUGUUUGUUUGUUUUGUUUUCUUAAUACUUUUGAAGUUACUUGGUCCUAAAAUUUGACUCUUUGUAAACAUUUCAGCACUUUAAUUCGCCUUAAGUUUUACGUUUUAAUAUUCCAGUUCCAAAAGAGUUUUAUGAGCAAAUAAAAAAAAAAGAUGAUGGCCCUGGAAGCAUUUCUUUUCAAUAUCUUUUACUUCUGCUAAGCUAUAUACACAAGAAGCUGCCUUAUAAACAGCUUUAUAUUGCACUCUAUUGCCAACCAUUGGAAAAACAUGCUGUAAUGGGCUGCAAAUGGCAUAGUGUUAUGCAGCCAGAAUGAAGGAGAUCAUUGGAAAGAUAUCAUAUUGAUAAAAGCAGGCACAGAGAGGAUAACUUUGAGUCUGAAGCUUCUGUAUCACAAGUAAUAGAACAAAGGAAAAAAAUUACAGAUAUUUGUUUCUACUCAGAAACAACCUGAGCCAACAGCACUUUGCUUGCUGAAAUGUUUUCUCUCUCAUACUCCAAGCAAAAUGUGUAUUUCCUUCAGAGCCAUGUUUGCUGCUGUUUCUUUGCGUGAAUCAUUUUUCUCACCUUUAGAAAGCGGAUUCUCUCCCAGAAUGCAUUAAUUAGCUGUCAGAGGAAAGCAAAGGUCAUACAUCCAAACCGAGCGGACAGAGCGGUCCCGAAACACCCACAGCAAACAUUCGUUACUCCAGGUCUGGCAACGUUAAAAAUGCUGCUCAGGACUGAUAGAUUUUUUACCCCCUUCAUAGAGAAAAAAACACCUAUGUAAUCACUCAGAUGCUUAUGCUUUACUGUCAAGUGCAAAAGUAACACAGCAAUUUAAAAUCAUGUCAUGGAAACUCUAUGCCCAGCAAGCACUGGACCAACUUUUCAGUGUCAGCUCCCUGGUGAUCUGAUGCUGAGCACGGAGUGCUCGUCCCAGAGGGCUGAUCCUGCAGGCUGCUCAUGCUCUGAACUUCCUUGCUUCACUGCUGAACCCAUUGGAGCCCACUUUGCAGGUGGAAGCUUUCUCAGAGUGCUGUGAGGCUUUCAGAGAAGGAGCAGAAGAUGAGAGGGGCAAUAGCUGCAGUCUUGCUGGGGUGGAUCAACUGCAUUCUGCCUUUGCUCUUCUUCUCUGUUGUGCUGAUUUACGUAUGCAUAUGCAUAUCCAUCCUCUCUCAAACACAUACCAACACUGCCUUGGCUUUAUGGCCACCAUUUAUAACUGACCAGAGCCCUGUGUGUUUCCAGACAGGCUGGAGAAAGGAGCAUGGAGCAUGCUGGCAGCAGUAGCUACAGCGGGCAGGGCACUCUGGGGCUCUCCUGCCUGUCCUGUGCACAGAGCACACAAGGCAGCAGGCUCAGGGUGGGUGGCAAAACUAAAAAUCACAGACCCGUGAGGACAUACACAUCUUUUCCAACUGUUGCCUCGGCAGUCUUGGCUUUCCAAGUGCUUUCUGGAGCACAUCCAGAAGCUGAGGAGACCUGGUCCCACAUGGGGCAGCUUCUGACGUCCAUUGCACAGAGACUUACCCCAUAAAACUCCGCCUGAAAAGUUCAGUCAGCAAAUAAAGCACCAUUAACCGGGGGACACAUGUGGCUCCUUUGUGUUUGCAUCGGAGGUGUCAGCUGUGUUUAAUUACAGUUUAAUUAAGGCAAGGCACACUGAUGUGUGCAGUUUUAUUUCAGCUUCUUUCCUCCUUGCAAACCUGAUGGUGAUGCAAGCCUGAAAAAGCCAGUAGUGCUUCUGCCAGUGGUCGUUGGCAGAGAUCCCUGUGUAGAUGCUGUGGAUUUAUAGAACAAAUCGGUCCUACAGAAAUCAAGCUUC